rnacentral:rRNA from 1 species
GAUGAACGCUGGCGGCGUGCCUAAUACAUGCAAGUCGAGCGAACAGACGAGGAGCUUGCUCCUCUGACGUUAGCGGCGGACGGGUGAGUAACACGUGGAUAACCUACCUAUAAGACUGGGAUAACUUCGGGAAACCGGAGCUAAUACCGGAUAAUAUAUUGAACCGCAUGGUUCAAUAGUGAAAGACGGUUUUGCUGUCACUUAUAGAUGGAUCCGCGCCGCAUUAGCUAGUUGGUAAGGUAACGGCUUACCAAGGCAACGAUGCGUAGCCGACCUGAGAGGGUGAUCUGCCACACUGGAACUGAGACACGGUCCAGACUCCUACGGGAGGCAGCAGUAGGGAAUCUUCCGCAAAGGGCGAAAGCCUGACGGAGCAACGCCGCGUGAGUGAUGAAGGUCUUCGGAUCGUAAAACUCUGUUAUUAGGGAAGAACAAAUGUGUAAGUAACUAUGCACGUCUUGACGGUACCUAAUCAGAAAGCCACGGCUAACUACGUG